AACCAGCUCUUCAAGUGGUCGGGAUAAUUAUUGGGCUUAAAGCGUCCGUAGCCGGUUUAGUAAGUUCCUGGUAAAAUCGGGUAGCUUAACUAUCUGUAUGCUAGGAAUACUGCUAUACUAGAGGGCGGGAGAGGUCUGAGGUACUACAGGGGUAGGGGUGAAAUCUUAUAAUCCUUGUAGGACCACCAGUGGCGAAGGCGUCAGACUGGAACGCGCCUGACGGUGAGGGACGAAAGCCAGGGGAGCGAACCGGAUUAGAUACCCGGGUAGUCCUGGCCGUAAACGAUGCAUAUUAGGUGACGGUACGGCUAUGAGCCGUAUCGGUGCCGUAGGGAAACCGUUAAAUGUGCCGCCUGGGAAGUACGGUCGCAAGGCUAAAACUUAAAGGAAUUGGCGGGGGAGCACCACAAGGGGUGAAGCCUGCGGUUC
rnacentral:rRNA from 1 species